AAGACAGUUUCAGAAAAGCCAGGAUUUAGUCUACGAGAAACUGUAAAAUGUUACAUACUGACAGAAGACUCAAGAACUGUGCAUUUUGAUUUAGAUGAAUAUGGUCAUCAUGAAAUAUCCACCAAGGAUUCACAAUCCCAUGAAGAUAUUGCAUGGUUAAGCGUGUUUACAAGUAAUGAAUCAACAAUUUGUGGCG